CCCCGCCCCGGGUGAGUCGAAGGCGCUACGCCCGGUGCCCCCGGUUGCUGCGCGCGCGGACCCGGAAGACAUUUGCAGCCACUUCCGGGGAGAGUCGGAAGUCGUUACGGAAGCGGCAGAGAGUGGGCAGGGCCGGGAGGAGGGUGCGGUCUCCGCGCCCGCGGUCGGAGUGGCCCCCAGCAGCGCAGCCGCUGGCAACAUUUGGCUGGUGAUUCUGUGUCUUUGCUGCCAGCCAGAACUUCGUUCCCAAUUAAGGAGACGGGCCCCGCGGGGAAGGGGACUUGCCCGGGGUCGCACAGAGGGAAGGGUGCCGCUUGAAGCCACGCCUGGAACGGUCGGCGGGACGUAGGCCACAUGGCCGCGCCUCCGCAGCCACAGUGCGCGCACCGGAGCUGCCUGCCGUUCGGAGGCCGGUGGGCAGCUUCUCGCACGUCGACCUCGCCCUGGCGGCGGAGGGCGGCCCGGCUCCUGGAGCCGCAAGCGUCCGUUCUGUUCGCGGACGGCCCGCCGGGACCGGUGGGUCCCCCGGGCCCGCCUGGGCUCGCCCGCUCCAGUCACUGCCUCUGCGGCCCCGGCACCGAAUGCAGGAGUUGCUCUGGGGUUUUGAGCUUGGGAUCGCAGGGGAUCUGUCGGUUGGUGGAAACUUAAACCGGAUAUAGAGGCCGUCACGCAGGUUGUUGAGAGAGACACAGAAUAACGCUGCCUGAAAAAGUGAGUAGAGAUGGGCAUAGGGGCCUGAGGGCUGCAGGUCCUGGGUCCAGCAGUUCCUGAAGCCUUGCCUCAUUGCUCCUUCUGCCUAAUGCACUUCAGCUCAUAAGGCAGAAUGUUUUUCUUUCAAGUGAUACAAACCAAAAACCAGUGUAAGAGAAAAGAAGGAAGUUUUAUGGCAUGUUGGAUGGCUUCAGGCACGGCUAGAUCCAGGAGUCUGGCACUAUCAUUACGGAUCUCUCUUUCUCCAUGUCUCAGCUCUUCUGAGAGCUGUCCCUGCUCUUUGGUGAGCUCUCUCUGAGCAGUGGCGUGUGGAAACUCUGGGUUAACGUUCCAGCAGCCCUUGAAGGAAGACAGGUCUUCUUCCCCAGUCAUUGCAGGAAACGUUCUGAGGCCUGUUGUCUUUGGCCUGCUGUGGAAAUGGAGCCGAGGCAGACACUCCUCAGAGGAUGUGAGCGGAAGCUGGGGCGGGGAGGACCCCCAAAAGGGAAUAGCCAGGAUUCUGAGAGCCCAAGAGGUGGUAGAUAAGCAAAAAGUCCUCUCCUUUCUCACAUCCUGCUGGUCCUCUGCCGGGGCCUCCAGGACUCCCUGUGGUAGUUCUGUCUGGCCCUUGGGGGAAACGGGACUCCUUUUCUCGUUUUUAUUGCUGUGGCAUUCAUACAGUUAACCGUUUUAUUUUUAUUAUUAUUAUUAUUAUUAUUAUUAUUAUUUUUUAAUGUUUAUUUUUGAGAGAGACAGAGACAGAAUGCGAGUGGGUCAGGGGCAGAGAGAGGGAGACAGGGAAUCUGAAACAGGCUCCGGGCUCUGAGCUGUCAGCACAGAGCCCGACACGGGGCUCGAACCCACGAACCAUGAGAUCAUGACCUGAGCCUAAGUCGGAGGCUCAACCGACUGAGCCACCCAGGCGCCCCACAUACAGUUAACCAUUUUAAACUGAAUUAUUUUGGUGGCAUUGAGUGCGUUGACAAAGUUGGGCAACCACUCCCUCUGUCUAGUUGCAGACAGAUUUCAUCGCGUCCAGAAGAAGCUCCGUUCCGUCCCCAUCAGCUGCCACCCCCGCCCCCCCCAGCCCCCGGCCGCCACGAGCCCCCUUCCUGUCCGUGGAUGAGCACGUUGUGGAUAUUUCACAUAAACUGAGUUUCACCCCGUGUGGUGUCUCGUGUCUGGUUCCCUCCCUGAGUGUCGUGUGUUCGGGGCUCUGUCCGCGGGGCAGCGGGGGUGGGUGCCUCACUCCUGCUGUGGCCGAGGGACGUGUCCUCAUGUGUGUGGUGGACGCGUGUAUCUGUUUCCCCGUUGAUGGAUUUUUUUUUUCAUUUAAAAAUCUUUACCGCUUAA